rnacentral:rRNA from 1 species
AUUGAACGCUGGCGGCAUGCUUUACACAUGCAAGUCGAACGGUAACAGCACUUCGGUGGCUGACGAGUGGCGAACGGGUGAGUAAUACAUCGGAACGUGCCUAGUAGUGGGGGAUAACUACUCGAAAGAGUAGCUAAUACCGCAUGAGAUCUAAGGAUGAAAGCAGGGGACCUUCGGGCCUUGCGCUACUAGAGCGGCUGAUGGCAGAUUAGGUAGUUGGUGGGAUAAAAGCUUACCAAGCCGACGAUCUGUAGCUGGUCUGAGAGGACGACCAGCCACACUGGGACUGAGACACGGCCCAGACUCCUACGGGAGGCAGCAGUGGGGAAUUUUGGACAAAGGGCGCAAGCCUGAUCCAGCAAUGCCGCGUGCAGGACGAAGGCCUUCGGGUUGUAAACUGCUUUUGUACGGAACGAAAAGCCCUCUUCUAAUACAGGAGGGUCAUGACGGUACCGUAAGAAUAAGCACCGGCUAACUACGUG